UACAGAGGGUGCAAGCGUUGUUCGGAAUUAUUGGGCGUAAAGCGCGUGUAGGCGGCUUUGCAAGUCGGGUGUGAAAUCCCUCGGCUCAACCGAGGAAGUGCGCCCGAAACUGCAGGGCUUGAGUACCGGAGAGGAUGGCGGAAUUCCCCAAGUAGAGGUGAAAUUCGUAGAUAUGGGGAGGAACACCGGUGGCGAAGGCGGCCAUCUGGACGGAUACUGACGCUGAGACGCGAAAGCGUGGGGAGCAAACAGGG
rnacentral:rRNA from 1 species